rnacentral:rRNA from 1 species
GACGAACGCUGGCGGCGUGCCUAAUACAUGCAAGUAGAACGCAGUGGCGAAAGGGUGAGUAAAGCGCAGGUAAACUGCCUCAUAGCGGGGGAUAAAAAUUGGAAACGAUAGCUAAAACCGCAAACUGUGAGAUGGACCUGCGUAGUAUUAGAUAGUUGGAGUGGUAAAGGCUCACCAAGGCGACGAUACAUAGCCGGCCUGAGAGGGUGGACGGCCACACUGGGACUGAGACACGGCCCAUACUCCUACGGGAUGCAGCAGUGGGGAAGCUUCCGCCAUGGACGGAAGUCUGACCGGGCAACGCCUCGUGAGUGAAGAAGUUUUUCGGGUCGUAAAGCUCUGUUAUUAGGGAAGCGGUAACUAACCAGAAAGGGACGGCUAAAUACGUGCCAGCCGCCGCGGUAAUAC